CAGAGAGGAAAAUGAAGAAGUUCAAUAAGGGCAAGUGUCCAGUGCUGCACCUGGGGAGGUCGAACCCCAUGCACCAGUACAGGCUGGGGGCUGACCUGCUAGAAAGCAGCUCU